GAGGAAGGCAAGAUAUCAGAACAAGUUAAGCAAAUCUGGCCUUGGGUUUUGACCACAGUCUAUCCUUCCAGUGGGCCAAGAGUUGCUUGGAAUGACUCACAGAAAACACUGGACUUCCCCGGAAGCUACUUGAAAAACAUGACCCCUGGCCGGCCUAUGUCACCUAUACCUCUCAGACAGUGAAAAGACUCAUUGAGAAAAGCAAAACUAGAGAACUGGAAUGCAUGCGUGCCCUCGAGGAAAGACCCUGGGCAUCAAGGCAGAAUAAACCUUCCAGCGUCAUUCAGCCGAAAAGGAGGAAGUCUUCCAAGUCUUCUGGCAAAGCUGUGUUCAGGGACACGCUGUCAGAAUCCACGUUAUCAAUGUGGGGCGCUUAUUCGGUAUUGGCCAUGGCUCCUACCAUGAUCCCAGAACCCACACACUUACAUGCGGAUUCCAGAGACUGUCCAACUGAAAACUAUAACAAGAUCAUCUUUGCCCGCAAGCCUAUGAUGAGGAUGCUCCCUACAGUUCGCUACUGACCAACAAGGAGAAACAUGCAAAUGUUUUAGCCAGGGGUCCCUGCAGCCAUUCCCCAAGAACGUACAAAAGUUAAGCUCCAUUUACCACUCACUUGACAGUGUCCUUUAAAUCUGAACUUGCUCUUGCUCAUGCGGAGCUUGGCUAAGAGAAACCAGAUCAGAAUGCAAGCUGUAGGUGGGUGGGUGAGUGUGUCCCCUCCCACACUGCUCUCUGGUGGGUUUGGGCAGUCCCUGGCUCUAGUCUCUGCUGCAGAUUCUCAGGACCAAAAUGUGGGUGAUUUGUCUGGGUCCAGGCAGGAGACAGAAAUCACACAAGCUCUUUUAUUAGAGAUAAUAUAAAGAAUGAUUAACCAGGUGACAGUAAAGGGCAGGAAGGGAAUACAAAGGUAUCCAUGGAGGUAGCACCACAGGAAGCAGGCAUCACACUUGAGGCUUGGGAACAAGGGGAAGAUGCUGGACUCAUUGAAAGGUGGUUGCUUGGAGAAGGGACAUGGGGCUGAAUCUCAGACUUCUGAGGUGGGGGAGUGGGGAUGCCACUCAAUGCAGCUGGUAUCUCUGAGCUCUGAGGAGAGUCCUGUGGGGAUGGUGCCCCCUCCUCUGAAUAGGGGAGAUGUUUUGUUGGUGUCUCUGAGGGGACCCCCAUGAGGCUGCUUUUGUGAGUGUUGGAAAAACCAAAAACUGCAUUGAAAUGUUUCUGGGAGGAGUUGCCACUGCCUGGGUGAAGAAAAAGCACUGCUAGGGUUAGCAACCUGUCUGGCAAGGGACAGGAAGCUGAUAGAAAGUGAACAGGAAGCAAACAGGAAGUGAGCAAGGGGCCACUUCCUACUUCCUCCUUUAGCCUAGCAGAUUCCUUCUAGCUCCCCCUGGGGGCUGAGCCUAUCAGGGCACAAAGCCAGAAUGUGGUUUGUAGAAUCCCAGCCCCAGCAUCUCCAAGCAUAGGAUGGAUUUUGAAGCCAAGAGGGAAUUAGCUCUCGGCCGGGUUCUGAGUGAUCCCAUCCAGCUGCUCCUGGACCUGGUAUUGAGAGGUUUUUCCCUUGGAGGGCAAACAAAGUGGCAGUGGGGACCAGGGUGUCCCCUGCUGAGAAAUGGAGAGCUCUUUUCCCCUGUACUUCUCUGGGGUUUGCCUUGUGGAACCAAGUGCUUGGGGGAGGAGCUCCUGGCAGGACUCCAGCUGUUAUUUGUCAGAGGACAGCUAGGAUUGGUUCACCCUUGCUCUGAGUUGGCCCCAAAGCGAGCUAUGCUGAACUCUUCUCCAUCUCCAAGCAGACAACCUUUGUCUUUACAUGCAAGAGGGAUCCAAUUAUGACAGGCUGACCCAGCUGGUUUCAUGUUUGGGGUUUAUCUACUGAGUAAGGCUGACCUUACCUGAGUUUCUGUAUGUGUAUUUGCAAGACAGUUAAUACUAAUCCAUCAUCCCUCACAGAGAUGUAGAGGAUGAGAUGUAGUAACUUAUAGCAGUGUCAUUUGGAAAAGUUGAAUUUGCCCUACAAGGCAUGUUCUCCAUUCAAGGGUCUUGUGUAAACGUUUGCAGACACAGGUGCAGCUUUGGAGAACUCACCUCUGGCUCUUGUGCUUUUAUGUUGGGACAGCUGCCUAAAUUAGGAGCUCUAGACCUGUUAUUGGUUCCCAACUGUUGGCCAGAAUGAAUUCUUCG
rnacentral:lncRNA from 10 species